rnacentral:lncRNA from 1 species
GGCAUCUCCCUUGCACAGUUCUCCUCCUCGGCCUGCCCAAGAGUCCACCAGGCCAUGGACGCAGUGGCUGUGUAUCAUGGCAAAAUCAGCAGGGAAACCGGCGAGAAGCUCCUGCUUGCCACUGGGCUGGAUGGCAGCUAUUUGCUGAGGGACAGCGAGAGCGUGCCAGGCGUGUACUGCCUAUGUGUGCUACAGCACCUGGGGUACAUAAAAGAUAUUUCCGGAAAAUAAAAAAUCUCAUUUCAGCAUUUCAGAAGCCAGAUCAAGGCAUUGUAAUACCUCUGCAGUAUCCAGUUGAGAAGAAGUCCUCAGCUAGAAGUACACAAGGUACUACAGGGAUAAGAGAAGAUCCUGAUGUCUGCCUGAAAGCCCCAUGAAGAAAAAUAAAACACCUUGUACUUUAUUUUCUAUAAUUUAAAUAUAUGCUAAGUCUUAUAUAUUGUAGAUAAUACAGUUCGGUGAGCUACAAAUGCA